ensembl:lncRNA
CGGGGCAAAGACGGGCAAAGAACCCUGCAGCGGCCCCGGGGCAAAGACGGGCAAAGAACCCUGCAGCGGCCCCGGGGCAAAGACGGGCAAAGAACCCUAUAUUGAUCCCUGUCCAAAGAUUGACGACGAACCCUGCAGCGACCCCGGGGCAAAGUCCGGCAAAGAACCCUGCAGCGACCCCGGGGCAAAGGCGGGUAAAGAACCCUGCAGCGACCCCGGGGCAAAGGCGGGUAAAGAACCCUGCAGCGACCCCGGGGCAAAGGCGGGUAAAGAACCCUGCAGCGACCCCGGGGCAGAGUCCGGUAAAGAACCCUGCAGCGACCCCGGGGCAGAGUCCGGUAAAGAACCCUGCAGCGACCCCGGGGCAGAGUCCGGUAAAGAACCCUGCAGCGACCCCGGGGCAGAGUCCGGUAAAGAACCCUGCAGCGACCCCGGGGCAGAGUCCGGCAAAGAACCCUGCAGCGACCCCGGGGAAAAGACGGGUAAAGAACCCUGCAGCGACCCCGGGGCAAAGAAUGAGACUCCACAACCCAGCAAUCCUAUAUACACUCCACUGAUUGAUUUUCUGAGGAGCAAGAACCGACAGGCAGUCGGUCUUAAAGCACUCAUAGAGUGUCAUUGUGAUGGGCUGCCGCUCUUCUACCUGUGCCAGGUGUGUAAGUGUAAAGUCCUGCAGAACUCGAUUAUCUCCCAUGUCACUGGAGACAAUCACCGACAAUUAUCCCUGUGGCCUAUGAAUACUAUUCCCAAACGCCACAGGAGGUUGAGGGCAGCUGCCUUAAAGCUGGAGAAGACCUUGGGAUAUGGAGAAUUUAAGGUAGCAGUGUUGAAUGCGCGAACAUAUCAUUCUAUUUCUACUAAUUCCAUUCCCUUCGACAUGAAGGUAAAGAUGGUCUUGUGUGAUCACUAUUCAAGUGACCCCCGAUAUUUCGUCAUGCCUCUAGCUAAGAAGCCUAAGCCCAAGCUGAAGAAAAACAGUAAUGUCAAAACUCUGGCCCUAGACUGCAAUGACGUGUGUUCUCCCGCAGCACCCGCUGGGAGAUUCCCUGCUCUGUGGCGCUACCUGCAGCAGUCCAACAGACAGCCUGUCAUUGGUGUUGGUAUGUUGACAGAGUUGACCGAACGAGAUGGUGACUACGUCCUGUGUGGAUGCUGUUCUCACAAGAUGUUUCCAUCCUCUGUCACCUCACACGUCAUCUCUUCCAGACACCGCUACUACUACAUAAGAAUGGCACAUCCUGAGCUGGCUGUUAAUUGGCCAGAAAGUCCAGCGCUGAUUGUGUAUAAUGGGCCUCUUCAAAGAGAGCUGAGAGUGCAAGCUAAAGAACUGGAGGGUCAGGAAGGACCUGAACAUCCCCAGGUGGUGAAAGAAACAUCUGCUACAUCGGGAGGUGGACCCACAACCUGCCCAGAAGAGGUUGUCGAACAGAUCCAGAUUCACUCCGCUCCUGUCUCUGUGGAAGAGGAACCGGUUAACUCAGAGCCAUCACAGCCCCUCGGAGAAAAGAAAAAGACGAGGAAUAGGGGCAAUCCUGUGGUUGGAGUGAACUUCCUGGUCCGGGUGUCUCACAGAAAUAGGAAACAAUACUACUGUCAGCUGUGCUCCGUUAGGGUGAAGCAUCCCGUUAUUGAUCACAUGACCAGCCUCCGCCAUCGACACAGCUAUGUGAAAUUGAAGUACCCCAGUUGGACCUCCGACUCAGAGGCAAAGCUGUUCAAGAUGGCUUUUCACCUGGAGAAGGUGGAUCGAAGCGCUGGACUGGGCAUGCAGAAAGUAGAAGUGGAUGCUGUUGAAUUCAAGGAUCUAAGGUCUUGCCCUGUGGAGGAAGCUCUCAGUAAACUGCAGGCCAUUAUCAUACAGCAACAAGAGCCAGGUGAUCUGAAGAUGCAUCCCUCAACCAAUCAGAACCCAGAAGAUCUGAGACAGACUGCUCCCUCAUUGAGACCUGUCAGUGCCCAAGGGCCAUCUAACGGAGACCAGGAACACCUACAAGUACCUGCCUCCUCUCUCCAGGAUCAGCCGUCCUUUGGCUCCACAUCUGUCCCCCUCUCAUCCUCCAGUCCUCCUUGCCUCUCUCCCUCAAACUCCUUCUCUGCCUCUCUCCCCGCAGUGUCCCUAUCUGCCUCAACCUCCCUUUCUUCCUUUGUUCCAUCCUACACUCCCGUUUUGUCCACUGAGAAGACGACUGACCCCUCAUCAGAUGUUGUCUCUGUCCCCGAUCCUGUCUGUGAUCCUGUCUCUGUCCCUUCACCCCUCUCCGCUCUAAAGAACCCAACACAUCUGAAGGACUGCGAGAGUCCAGAGUGGUGGGAGAGGAGGAGCCCAGAAAACAGAGAGACACUAAUGCUUCUGGAACUCCCAGACAAACAGACGGAGUACGCGGCGGGAGACCGGCUGACGGAGUACGCGGCGGGAGACCGGCUGACGGAGUACGCGGCGGGAGACCGGCUGACGGAGUACGCGGCGG